GUCUUUGAAUGUUUAAUGACAGACCUUUACCGGUCAAUAAUUAAUACAACUUUCAACAAUGGAUCUCUUGGUUCUCGCAUCGAUGAAGAACGCAGCGAAUUGCGAUGUGUAAUGUGAAUUGCAGAAUUCAGUGAAUCAUCGAAUCUUUGAACGCACCUUGCACCCUUUGGUAUUCCGAAGGGUAUGCCUGUUUGAGUGUCAUUAAAUUCUCAACUUCUAAGAUUUUAUUAUCUUUGAAGCUUGGACUAUGGAGGUUAUUGCAGGCGAUUAACAUUGUCAGCUCCUCUUAAAUGCAUUAGCGGAACUCUCAAGUACCAGCUUUGGUUUGAUAAGUAUAUCUAUGCCGUCGCUGUGAACUUUUAUGUUCAGCUUCUAAUGGUCUUCGGACUGUCUCCUAUGAGGCAUACACUUUAAGCUUGACCUCAAAUCAGGUAGGACUACCCGCUGAACUUAAGCAUAUCAAUAAGCGGAGGA
rnacentral:rRNA from 1 species